rnacentral:rRNA from 1 species
GACGAACGCUGGCGGCGUGCUUAACACAUGCAAGUCGAGCGGAAAGGCCACUUCGGUGGUACUCGAGCGGCGAACGGGUGAGUAACACGUGAGUAAUCUGCCCUUCACUCUGGGAUAGCCAUCGGAAACGGUGAUUAAUACCGGAUAUGACCACCGUGGGCAUCCACUGGUGGUGGAAACUUUAUUGGGUGGGGGAUGUGCCCGCGGCCUAUCAGCUUGUUGGUGGGGUAAUGGCCUACCAAGGCUUCGACGGGUAGCCGGCCUGAGAGGGUGACCGGCCACACUGGGACUGAGACACGGCCCAGACUCCUACGGGAGGCAGCAGUGGGGAAUAUUGGACAAUGGGCGGAAGCCUGAUCCAGCAACGCCGCGUGAGGGAUGACGGCCUUCGGGUUGUAAACCUCUUUCAGCAGGGACGAAGCGCAAGUGACGGUACCUGCAGAAGAAGCACCGGCCAACUACGUGCCAGCAGCCGCAGUAAUAC